rnacentral:rRNA from 1 species
UGGGGAAUAUUGCACAAUGGGCGAAAGCCUGAUGCAGCAACGCCGCGUGAAGGAUGAAGUAUUUCGGUAUGUAAACUUCUAUCAGCAGGGAAGAUAACGACGGUACCUGACUAAGAAGCCCCGGCUAACUACGUGCCAGCAGCCGCGGUAAUACGUAGGGGGCAAGCGUUAUCCGGAUUUACUGGGUGUAAAGGGAGCGCAGGCGGCAGCGCAAGUCAGAAGUGAAAGCCCGGGGCUUAACUCCGGGACUGCUUUUGAAACUGUGCGGCUAGAUUUCAGGAGAGGUAAGCGGAAUUCCUAGUGUAGCGGUGAAAUGCGUAGAUAUUAGGAGGAACACCAGUGGCGAAGGCGGCUUACUGGACUGAUAAUGACGCUGAGGCUCGAAAGCGUGGGGAGCAAACAG